GAAGAUUUUCAAGUCCCCGGAUAGGACUGAACCAUGCUCAGGCCAAUCAAAUAAUCUAGUACUAAGUAUUAUUACGACAACAACUGAGCCUUAUUCCCAAAGUAGUUGGGGUCAGUUAUUAAGUAUUAUUGAAGCUCUAAUUUAUUAGUUGUGCCAAAUUAUGUGGAAUUAAUUUUUAAAGCUUUGCUAUGUUGUGAAGUAAUUUGCAAGAUUCUUAUUGAGUCCUUGCGCUAGUUU
rnacentral:misc_RNA from 1 species